AUGUACGAAUGGAUAGUUGACGGCAUAUCUUCGCUGUUUGCGCCUCACGCCGAGCUCAAGUCCCCCGCUUGUUCCAAGGGGGCCCGCGGCCCUCAGUUGUCGAGGGCGGCGGGUCCGGACGCUCGGCGGCAGGAGGAGACCCCCAGCAGGCCGGCUAAGCGGAACUACCAGAGUGUCCACUCACCUGACCUCAAACCUGACCACCGAGAGGUAAAAAGGCCCAGAAAAGAUGUAGUGGUCAGCUUUGUUAAGAAGACCUUCUCCGGAGUCGUAGGACUGCUGCGAUUGCAAAGCCCGUUUACCACACCUCCGGAGAGUCAAAGUGCCUGUACCAGAGACCAGGUUCCUGCAGAGGAGCUGCUGGGAGUUGAUGAAAUCCAGGGUAACGGCUUGAACAAGUGGAUAACUUAUGUGGAAAUGAAGAUGGAGAAACCCAGAGAAGUGAGGUACAAUGGUAAAGUGGGAGCACUGGUCAGGAAACCUAAUAGGACAGGAAUGUUUGUGGAGAGGACCAAAGGAAAGGACCACCGGCGGUCACUUCAGUUCCUACCCCAUCGUUCCACCCUGAAUGACACAACCCCAUGCAGUGUAGAUUCACCUGCUGUGCCCCCAUCAAACUGGAGCCAGAAACCCUGUCUGACUGUGGAGGCGGCUCUGAAAGAAACUGACAGAGAACGAUACAGACUCCUUGUGGAGAUGGUGUCGGAGAAAUACUCCAAGAACAAGCCUCUGCCCUUUGCACAGACACGACCGCCAAUUAUAAAGCCUCUUCUUUCUGAAAUGCAUAGACCAGCUUUCUUCAGUAGAACCCAUGAUGUUAUCGCCGGCAAGGCUGGUCCUUUGAGAGCAAAUGCAAGUGCAUCUGUGUGGAGAGGGGCCUCCUCAGCUGAAUUGUGUAAAAAUGGGUAAUUGUUUUCAUGUGAUCACACCAAAAGCAGCAUUUCUUUUGUCCAGUUGGAUUGUUUCCGCCACGGGUUGUUCACAAAUUUCUUUUCUACUUUCAGAAAAGAAAAUGAGAAAGUGGGCCCUCGAUCUGCAAAAGAAACGAAGAAUCAUGACCAGGGUGCUGUCUGCGUGCAGGCUGAAGACACGCUGGCCAGACACCAAGAGAGGUCAUCCAACACUGAAUUCUUGCUUUCUGCUGCAAAGAGCCAUGAAACUACUGCAUGGAAACAGCCUGUCGACGUGGACUUGUCUGCUGAAGUGGCAGCCCGGUUGAACCUAGUGGACUGUGCGCCUGUGACCCCAACCUGCCCUGCAAUCAAGACUCAACAGCCAGUCCAAGAGAGCUAUUCCAGCUCUGAUGAGUUUCCCAGGCUGACCCAGGAGAUGCAGCAGGAGGUAAGGCAGGCCCUAGUGCAGAAGGACCCAAACCUGGUGCUGAGCAGUGCUUUCAAGUUGAGAAUCACUCAGAGGGACCUGACCACCCUGAAGGAUGGAGGCUGGCUCAAUGAUGAGGUGAUCAACUUCUACAUGAACCUGCUGAUGUGCCGCAACGAGCAAGGCAGGGGUAGGAAGGUGUAUGCCUUCAACACGUUCUUCUUCCCGAAGCUGCAUGGAGGUGGCCACGCAGCAGUGCGCCGCUGGACCAAGGCAGUGGAUCUCUUCCAGUAUGAAAUAAUUGUGGUACCGCUGCACAUGGGAGUCCACUGGUCCCUCUCUGUAAGUUACUUCUGCUUGUGUAUAAACAGUCAGAACAGCGCCGUUGUUUAGGCAGGUAAAAUUGAGAGAAGUAAUUGCAUUUUGGGUGUGUGCUUUGCAUUCUCGAGGUGAUCGACUUCAGGGAAAAGUCUGUGAUGUAUUAUGAUUCCAUGGGCCAGAAACAUGACGACAUCUGCAAGCUUUUGCUGUAAGUUUGUUUUAGUGUUGUUGGGGAAGGCUCCAUUGGCUGUUUAUGCAACUCUUUACUAUGUUACUCUGAACUCAUUGGGUUGGGUCUUAUGGUUCAGACUUUAUUUGAAGGAAGAGCUUAAGAUCAAGAAUGGCAAAGACUUGGAUAUCUCCAAAUGGGUGACAGCCAGUUUCAGUGCCAAGGUUAGUAUGAUGCAGUAAAGCAAAAUAGUGGAAUUUUCCUCUUCAGGUUUUUAGUUUCCCAUGGUACUCAGGUACUCUUACUUUACAGGAGAUUCCUCAACAGAACAAUGGCAGUGAUUGCGGAGUCUUCGUCUGUAAAUAUGCUGACUACAUUUCCCAGGGCAGACCUCUCACUUUUACUCAGGUAUUAAUUUUCUUCUGUUCAGGGGAACUUCUCAUUCCUUUGAACUAGCGGACUUUCUUGUUCAUAAGAAGCUGCCAUUGUAAUCCUGUUUUUUAAAUUCUCUUUUCCUUCAGAGUCAUGUGCCUUAUUUCCGAAGGAGGAUGAUCUGGGAAAUCCUUAACCAACGGCUGCUAUAAGAGGAUGUAUCACCAUGGAAACGUAACCAGUAACAGUAUGACCAAAGCAAGGGACUGCCGAGUCAGCUGCUCACCCUUGCAUCCUCUCUAAAAUUGUACAUACUGAUCUCAACACCUGGAAAAUGAUAAGCUAUUUUUGCAUAUUUUUCCCUUUUCCCACUUGUAAAGUUGCUAUGGAACAAUAUGAAUGUGAAUGGAGGAGAGAAUAACACUGAACCAAUUGUAAAUGAGUGGUUUUGUAAAAUUACUUCUGGGUGAGGUUCUUAAACUUGAGAACUGCAUAUAUACAUAUAUAUUUUGGUUUACUUACAGCUGAUGCUUAUUUUUGGUGCCUCAGGCCAGAUUUAGUUAAUGUGCCUUGACUCUUCAAUAUACUUUUUGUGUGAAAUGUGUGUAGAUCUCCCCCCAACAUCAAUACGUACACACUUGUGACGUGAACAUUGUAUGGUGACAGUGUACUCACAAAGUGUUAUUUUUUUUCUCAUUGAUAAUUGAGCUGUAUGAAGCUUGUUGUGUAAGUACUUAAUUUUAUAGUUUAACUGAAUGUUCAUAGACCUGUUAUUGAACUGUUGGUUUGACUGGACUAGCAUGUCACAAAACACCUGAAAAUUUUGCUGGUUAUCUUGUUUUCCGUGUUUAGUAUCCUUUGGCGAUAAAUGUGUAGGUAAAUCAAGGUUUAAGUUAAUGCUUGCUCUUGUUUUGAAGAGGUAUUUUCGUAUUGCGGAGGUGCAGUUUCAUUCAUCCUCUGCGUGUUUGUGAAUUCAGGCAGCAGUUCAAUGUGAUGCUUUUCCAUAGGCUUCAUGGAAGUGUACAUGAACAUUACUGAAAUUAAUAAAAACAAAUGGAUGUCAUUGCA
ensembl:lncRNA